GAUGAACGCUAGCGGCAGGCUUAAUACAUGCAAGUCGAGGGGCAGCACGGUUAGCAAUAACUGGUGGCGACCGGCGCACGGGUGCGUAACACGUAUACAAUCUACCUUAAACAGGGGGAUAGCCUUUCGAAAGAGAGAUUAAUACCCGUAAUAAAUUGAACGGCAUCGUUUGAUUUUGAAGGCUCCGGCGGUUUGAGAUGAGUAUGCGUCUGAUUAGCUAGUUGGUGAGGUAACGGCUCACCAAGGCGACGAUCAGUAGGGGAUCUGAGAGGACUAACCCCCACACUGGUACUGAGACACGGACCAGACUCCUACGGGAGGCAGCAGUAAGGAAUAUUGGUCAAUGGAGGCAACUCUGAACCAGCCAUGCCGCGUGCAGGAUGACGGCCCUAUGGGUUGUAAACUGCUUUUAUACAAGAGAAAACCCUGGUACGUGUACCAGGUUGAUAGUAUUGUAAGAAUAAGCAUCGGCUAACUUCGUGCCAGCAGCCGCGGUAAU
rnacentral:rRNA from 1 species